UAGAAGAGUGUGGUGAGGAGUGGAAGGCUAAUCAAGCCCGGAGAUAGCUGGUUCUCCCCGAAAGCUAUUUAGGUAGCGCC
rnacentral:rRNA from 14 species